rfam:Cricetulus griseus cell line CHO-K1, whole genome shotgun sequence.
ACUGCUGAGCCAUCUCUCCAGCCCCAAUCAAAUACGCAUUCUUAAAAAUUUUGAAAGCAGGGGCUGGAGAGAUGGCUCAGCAGU